UAGGGAAUAUUGGACAAUGGGCGAAAGCCUGAUCCAGCAACGCCGCGUGCGCGAUGAAGGCCUUCGGGUUGUAAAGCGCUUUUAGGGGAGAUGAGAAAGGACAGUAUCCUCUGAAUAAGCCUCGGCGAACUACGUGCCAGCAGCCGCGGUAAAACGUAGGAGGCAAGCGUUAUCCGGAUUUAUUGGGCGUAAAGCGCGUGCAGGCGGUUUGAUAAGUUGGAUGUGAAAUCUCCCGGCUCAACUGGGAGCGGUCAUUCAAAACUAUCAGACUAGAGGAUGGGAGAGGGAGGUGGAAUUCCGGGUGUAGUGGUGAAAUACGUAGAUAUCCGGAGGAACACCAGUGGCGAAGGCGGCCUCCUGGACCAUUCCUGACGCUAAGACGCGAAAGCUAGGGGAGCAAACGG
rnacentral:rRNA from 1 species